GAUUUGGCUGCUCAACUCGAGACGCCGCUGCCGACGCUGCGCCGCCUCCUCCCCAAGACGCCGCGCCACCCGACACCUCGACGCUGAUAAUCUCCUCCGGCAUACUGGACUUCUCGUCGGUGGGUUAUUAUGAGUAUUUGCUGCUUUCCAGGCUGGAGUUAGAUGCUUUCCGAGGGCACCAAGGCCGUCACACCUCCGCCUAAUUCGGCUGUCCCUGUGUCUUCUUUGGUGGAUGAGAUCAAUGGCACUCUGUAGUUAGCUGUUUGUCCUCUGUCCUCUUGUAACUUGUGUGGGAUCACACUGAUUCAUGAUCUAGAGAAAUAACAACAGCGCUUAUUUCAGUUCUUGCCAUGAUCAAGUUUGUGCUACAUCGUUUAGGUUGGAUCUGUUGUGCAAGCUUGUGUUUCUCUGUAAAUCACUGCAUAUGAUGGCUAUAAACUUGCUGAGAUGUUUCUGAUAA